ACCGGCGGCUCGAGUGGUAACCGUUAUUAUUGGGUCUAAAGGGUCUGUAGCCGGCCGGAUAAGUCUCUUGAGAAAUCUGGCAGCUUAACUGUCAGGCUUUCAGGAGAUACUGUCUGGCUCGAGGCCGGGAGAGGUUAGGGGUACUCCAGGGGUAGGGGUAAAAUCAUAUAAUCCGGGGAGGACCACCGGUGGCGAAGGCGCCUAACUGGAACGAACCUGACGGUGAGUAACGAAAGCCAGGGGCGCGAACCG
rnacentral:rRNA from 1 species